AGACUCACAGGAUCAGACUUCAAAGUCAGGGACUAGCAGGUGCACUUCUCAAGGGCUGUGAAGAAGCUGCAAGGGACAGAUGACAAAGGGACAAGAUACCUAAUUCACAUGGAUUCUGAACAGGGCAGGAUUCUGAGGCUGAACACUGGCAAGGCCUGAUUUGCCUUUUAGUGGGACCAUGCCUUGCCAUCCAAGAGAGGAAAAAUGCAGGUUGUUUCUGCUCUUACCCAAGUGGUUGGGUUAGUUUGACGGUGAUGAUGUUUUCAGGGUUGGCUGAUGGAUAGGAUGUUGGUUAUAAGCAAGAAAGAAUCAAGCUGAUUCAAGAGUCCUGACCCCAGGAAAAUGAUACUGAUGUUGCUAGGCAGAAAAGGCCUGGGUACCAGUGAACCUCCAGAGCUGUCUUCUACCUAGGAAGCCUCAGGAGCCCAGAGAAGGAAGGAAAAGUACCCAACCCUCAGAAGCCACACAGAUAAGCACCCUUCAACUUGCUGGUAUCGAGAGCAUGCCCUGUCUCUCAGCACAGAGGGAGAGGGCUGGAAGCACUGCUGAAGCCCAAGCUGGGCAGAAGCAGUCAGCAGCAUCGAGGGCUGUGAGCUGCGGCAUCUUCACACUAUAUUUGGGCCCACUUGGUCAUUAUAAACUCAUCUGAUCACUCAGCAAA
ensembl:lincRNA Gm19872 predicted gene, 19872